GCUCUACCCUCCCUGCGAUAUAUGAAAGGACGGUGAAGUGAUGCUGCUCGCCAUCGUCCUCUCUCCUUCCUUGACUCGGUCCUUUUUUCUUCCUCGCUUUAGGGUUUGAUGUCAGAUUUGCGUUUCGAUGCCUCCCUCCUCCCAGCUUUGGAUCCUCUUCAGUGGAUUUGAGCUUGCGAUAAUGGAUGCCUCGCUUUCUGCUGCUGCCAGAUGUGCUUGUUUGACAACGAGAGAGAGCACGCCGGUCCACGAUCAUACCUGCGGCCAUGGCUGUGUGUACCAGCGUGCUUUUUCUCGUUGUCAACUGGCUGGUGCCUUUCGUCGGGAUCGACCACCUUCUUGACCCUGGCUGACGGGAUUGAAGUGCCUGAUCAACAUUUUAAGUAGUAAGCAAAAAAUUUAGACCUCUAGUAAACUUGUCAGUUGUCACGGAUCUCUGGAUUUGUAUUUUCCUCAGCUUAGAAUCUAUAAUUUUAUGUUUUUAUCAUUUCUCUUUUCUCGCAUAUGCGUUGAGCCUUCUUUUUCUGGUAUCUAUUGUAAGUUAAUUCUACAUGUAUGACACUGAACUACUAAGGUGGACAUGUUCUUGUAUCAUUCUUGUGUUUGACUUGACACAACUUCUAGCUGUGAUCUGCU